GCAACCGUGGUCUCGUUCUAACCUUGGUAAGGAUGAUCUACUGUUCUAUUGGGGAGGCUCACGGAAUCUAGACAGCACAAAGGAUGUUCGACCCGCACCUAUAAACCUACCCGUCCUGCUAAUAAGACGUGAUCUGCAAAGGUAACUCAGAAAUGUCACGUUCCUCGCUACUACCACGGUCUAGCUAGUCAGGGGAUAUCUAUGAGUACCCUAGCCUAAACACCACGUUUACGCUGGCAAGUGAUUACUCUAAUGCUC
rnacentral:lncRNA from 1 species